UACAGAGGGGGCAAGCGUUAUUCGGAAUUAUUGGGCGUAAAGGGCGCGUAGGCGGCCUGACAAGUGAAAGGUGAAAUCCCUCGGCUUAACCGAGGAACUGCCUUUCAGACUGUUUGGCUUGAGACCGGGAGAGGUGAGUGGAAUUCCCAGUGUAGCGGUGAAAUGCGUAGAUAUUGGGAGGAACACCAGUGGCGAAGGCGGCUCACUGGACCGGUACUGACGCUGAUGCGCGAAAGCGUGGGGAGCAAACGGG
rnacentral:rRNA from 1 species